UCCUCCUUGGCGCAAUUGGCUAGCGCGUUCGACUGUUACAGCUGCAUCACCUGCGGGCUCUGCAAUCGAGAGGUUCACAGUUCAAGCCUGUGAGGGGGAA
rnacentral:tRNA from 1 species